CAGGUGCUGGAGUGGUGCCAGGACUCAUCCAUGGUGGUGGUUGGUGUGUGAACAGCAGCAGCACCAGCCAGGUGCUGGAGUGGUGCCAGGACUCAUCCAUGGUGGUGGUUGGUGUGUGAACAGCAGCGGCACCAGCCAGGUGCUGGAGUGGUGCCAGGACACAUCCAUGGUGGUGGUUGGUGUGUGAACAGCAGCAGCACCAGCCAGGUGCUGGAGUGGUGCCAGGACACAUCCAUGGUGGUGGUUGGUGUGUGAACAGCAGCAGCACCAGCCAGGUGCUGGAGUGGUGCCAGGACACAUCCAUGGUGGUGGUUGGUGUGUGAACAGCAGCGGCACCAGCCAGGUGCUGGAGUGGUGCCAGGACACAUCCAUGGUGGUGGUUGGUGUGUGAACAGCAGCGGCACCAGCCAGGUGCUGGAGUGGUGCCAGGACUCAUCCAUGGUGGUGGUUGGUGUGUGAACAGCAGCGGCACCAGCCAGGUGCUGGAGUGGUGCCAGGACACAUCCAUGGUGGUGGUUGGUGUGUGAACAGCAGCGGCACCAGCCAGGUGCUGGAGUGGUGCCAGGACACAUCCAUGGUGGUGGUUGGUGUGUGAACAGCAGCGGCACCAGCCAGGUGCUGGAGUGGUGCCAGGACACAUCCAUGGUGGUGGUUGGUGUGUGAACAGCAGCAGCACCAGCCAGGUGCUGGAGUGGUGCCAGGACACAUCCAUGGUGGUGGUUGGUGUGUGAACAGCAGCAGCACCAGCCAGGUGCUGGAGUGGUGCCAGGACACAUCCAUGGUGGUGGUUGGUGUGUGAACAGCAGCGGCACCAGCCAGGUGCUGGAGUGGUGCCAGGACACAUCCAUGGUGGUGGUUGGUGUGUGAACAGCAGCAGCACCAGCCAGGUGCUGGAGUGGUGCCAGGACUCAUCCAUGGUGGUGGUUGGUGUGUGAACAGCAGCGGCACCAGCCAGGUGCUGGAGUGGUGCCAGGACACAUCCAUGGUGGUGGUUGGUGUGUGAACAGCAGCAGCACCAGCCAGGUGCUGGAGUGGUGCCAGGACACAUCCAUGGUGGUGGUUGGUGUGUGAACAGCAGCAGCACCAGCCAGGUGCUGGAGUGGUGCCAGGACUCAUCCAUGGUGGUGGUUGGUGUGUGAACAGCAGCGGCACCAGCCAGGUGCUGGAGUGGUGCCAGGACUCAUCCAUGGUGGUGGUUGGUGUGUGAACAGCAGCGGCACCAGCCAGGUGCUGGAGUGGUGCCAGGACACAUCCAUGGUGGUGGUUGGUGUGUGAACAGCAGCGGCACCAGCCAGGUGCUGGAGUGGUGCCAGGACACAUCCAUGGUGGUGGUUGGCAUAAGUGUUUCAGGCUGGGCCUCAUAAACCAAAACCUUUCGCCCCCCAAGCACACACAGUUGACAAGGCUUUCCUAGGAUUUGUGGGGGUCAUUUCCAUGGCCUGGUUUAUGAAUUGGUGCUCCCUUUGUAUGUUGAUCACUGCCCCUAUAAAAGAGCGAAUAGAUGAGCUGCCUUCAAACCAAAUAUAAUAGAAUAGAGAUAAAAGAGUAUAUGUAGUCAGUCGGUGUAGUUGUUGUAGCUGUGGAGACAGAAGGCAAUCUUGUACGUUAAUCACCCAAUGACUUGCAGACCAACAAGAAUCGGCUGAUCUUAUACUCUAUCGUGGCUGAUGAGUCUCGGCGGGAGGUCUACGAGCAGAGGGACCCGCCAGCCCCCCCCUCAAGUGGGAGUCUUCCAGCCUGUAUGCCUGUGAGCCCGUCCGCCUCUCAUGAUCUCCACGGCUUUUCAGACCGAGGUGAACAGAGGCGUGACUGAGCUGGUGUGUCUAAGGGAGGAGCUGAUGGUUGCCACUGGGCCGGGCCAUACCCAGCGGCUGUGUUGGGACGGCUCCGUCAACUACAGCCACAAGCUGCGUGGACCUGCAGCGCGUCCCAUUCUGCAAUGAUCAGCUGGCAGUGAAGGGUAAGGUCAGGUCUUUAGAGGCUGUGGUAUGUGUGGGGGGAGUCCGGUGUAUUUAGUCUUGCCCUGCAGCGGUGCCCCUAGAGGCUCCGGGGGUGCAUGUGGUGGACCUGGCGUGUUCCCCGGUGGUGGUCCUCAGCGACGGCAGGGCAGCUUUCCUCACCGCCUCAAAUUUGAUCCUGAUUUGUCAGGGCGUGGUGUGCCUGGACCCCGGUGGGUGAGGCAACAGGCGGCCUGGAGGUGUCCCACAUUAUGGUGCCCUCAGACAGAGGCUACGGAGGAAGGGUCACCAGGGCCAGUGGUGGGCUCCUGAUGGCACUGUGCUGGGCAUGAGCUGGACAGGAGGAGGAUUGCUGCUGUGGAGUGCAUUUUGCUCCCUGCUGACUGUGUCUCUGCGCUGGGACCACUCCGAGGACCGUCCACUGUCUCUUGCCAUUACUAUAACCAAUAUGUUCCACAGCGCCCAGAUGACUCCCAUCGUGCUGGCGUCAAGCUGUGAGGCUGUGCUGCACCGUGAGCCACAAGCUCCACCUGAGCCACGCCCUCUGGCUCCACAGUGGGGUUCACGGCAUACGCGCGUGGCUCCCUUUGUUCCCAAACUCCUCGGACAAGUCCCACACCUUCAUGGCCCGGAGAAUCACGCUGCCCUUCACUCCAUGCGUCCAUACAGCCGCUGGGAAGCUGUCAUGUUUGAGGAGGACAUCCAUCCUGCUGGCCGCCCAGACUGACGCCUCCUUGCCGGCCUGUGUAC